rnacentral:rRNA from 1 species
AGAGUGAACGCUGGCGGUAGGCCUAACACAUGCAAGUCGAACGGCAGCACAGUAGGAGCUUGCUCUUACGGGUGGCGAGUGGCGGACGGGUGAGGAAUACAUCGGAAUCUACCUUUUGGUGGGGGAUAACGUAGGGAAACUUACGCUAAUACCGCAUACGCCCUUCGGGGGAAAGCCGGGACCAGCAAUGGCCUGGCGCUGAUAGAUGAGCCGAUGUCGGAUUAGCUAGUUGGUGAGGUAAUGGCUCACCAAGGCGACGAUCCGUAGCUGGUCUGAGAGGAUGAUCAGCCACACUGGAUCUGAGACACGGUCCAGACUCCGUACGGGAGGCAGCAGGUGGGG